rnacentral:rRNA from 1 species
GACGAACGCUGGCGGCGUGCCUAAUACAUGCAAGUUGAGCGAUGAAGCUUGGUGCUUGCCCCAAUUUGAAGAGCAGCGAACGGGUGAGUAACGCGUGGGGAAUCUGCCUUUGAGCGGGGGACAACAUUUGGAAACGAAUGCUAAUACCGCAUAACAACUUUAAACAUAAGUUUUAAGUUUGAAAGAUGCAAUUGCAUCACUCAAAGAUGAUCCCGCGUUGUAUUAGCUAGUUGGUGAGGUAAAGGCUCACCAAGGCGAUGAUACAUAGCCGACCUGAGAGGGUGAUCGGCCACAUUGGGACUGAGACACGGCCCAAACUCCUACGGGAGGCAGCAGUAGGGAAUCUUCGGCAAUGGACGAAAGUCUGACCGAGCAACGCCGCGUGAGUGAAGAAGGUUUUCGGAUCGUAAAACUCUGUUGGUAGAGAAGAACGUUGGUGAGAGUGGAAAGCGCAUCAAGUGACGGGAACUACCCAGAAAGGGACGGCGAACUACGU